AUUGAACGCUGGCGGCGUGCUUAACACAUGCAAGUCGAUCGGUAACGCGGGGGCAACCCUGGCGACGAGAGGCAGACGGGUGAGGAACGCUUGGGAAUCUGCCCUUCAGCGGGGGACAACACGGGGAAACUCGUGCUAAUACCGCAUACGCUCCACGGAGGAAAGCCGGGGACCGCAAGGCCUGGCACUGAAGGAUGAGCCCAAGUCGGAUUAGCUAGUUGGCGGGGUAACGGCCCACCAAGGCGACGAUCCGUAGCUGGUCUGAGAGGACGAUCAGCCAAACUGGGACUGAGACACGGCCCAGACUCCUACGGGAGGCAGCAGUGGGGAAUAUUGGACAAUGGGGGAAACCCUGAUCCAGCGACGCCGCGUGGGUGAAGAAGGCCUGCGGGUUGUAAAGCCCUUUCGGUAGGGACGAAAGCUCUCGACCUAACACGUCGGGAGGUUGACUUAACCUACAAAAGAAGCACCGGCUAACUCUGUGCCAGCAGCCGCAGUAAAAC
rnacentral:rRNA from 1 species